AGAAAUUUAUGCUGAGAUCAUGUCAGGUCCUUCUGAACCUUUGGAUGAAGGGACUUCAGCUGUAAACAUAGCAGAAAACACACUUAAAGAAGAUGUCCCAUCAGAAUUAGACAAUUUGGCAGAGGAAGCAGACCAACAGGAAGAGGAAGAAGAGGAGACAUCACUUCGAAGAAAGAAAUCCUCUUCAUUUAUUAAAUGUUUUUUUCUUUAUAUUAUACCCCACGACUUAUUUGAGUAAGUUAUUUAAUAUUUCAAUUGAACUUUUCUGAUUUUAAACUCAAACAAACUGGAUAAUAUCAGUCAAACUUUGUGUGCAGAGUAACUCAUUGUAAAAGAGGUCAAGUGUGAGUUUCAGUCCAUGUUUAGAUAUGAUAAGAUAGAGGUGGUGCAGAUUUAGAUUAUAACACAUUUUUAUAAGAUGUACAAAUUUGUUUCAUUGUAUCACGAAUAAAAUGGACUUAGGCUGAACUGGAUGACGUUAAAUAAUAUUUCAGAGAAUGUCUUAACACAUACACACCACUCCAGGAAGAAUAACUUGUAAUAUGGCAAUAUAGAAAAGCAGGGAUGAUGGAGAUUCCAUACAGUAUAGGCCAUGGGAAGAAAGUGUGGAAUCUGAUCCAAAAACAAAAAUAAAACCCAUUUUGAAUUUUUGCAUCAAAUGUUUGUUAUGUAAUGAUGUUUGUAUUGUUCUUUUCCUUUGCUCUUCUUUCUAGUUUGAGACAAAAUGUUCAUAAUCAUUUACUUGUCACUGAACUUUAGUCAAUGGUAAUUUCUUUUAUUGUGUGAAACACAUGCAUUGUAUCUGUUUAGUAGGAUGUAAUCAGUUUGAGAAUUGUAUCAUACGAAAGUAUACAUAUUCAUUUACCUGGACAUUUGAUGAGAAUUUCCUAUGAUCAAGUCAAAUUAUUGCAAGAUUGCAAUUUAUUUAGCAGUAUGGUUGUAUAAAAUUAUUUGUAGCGUCUUCAUGGAUUUUCUUCAUUUGAUGAGAAUUUCUUUUACUAAAUGAACUGAUAGCCAAAUUUGUAAUGGACUUGAUUUAUUUAAUAUUUCUUGUGCCAUUUGUCAUUAAAUAUAUCUUUGGAUCAAAGCUUAGAAAAAUAUUUUUCUGUGUUUCUGAAGACAAAAAUAAAUAAUAUUGAUUCCUCAAUAGUUUGGUAGUUACAUAUACUUAAUGGUAGAUAAAAUGAAAGUUUGUGGAUAAAAUCUUUUCAUUAUAUUUGCUUGAAUUUUAUGAACUACGGCC